rnacentral:lncRNA from 1 species
AAUCAAAAUUGCAUAGAAACAUUGUUCAUAUUUCUUCUUAUAAAUAUUUUCCAUCCAACAUUUUACUUUCCUCAAUUCUGUUCCAGUUUCCUCAUUUACUGCAGUUGUUAACAUCAUUUUGUAAACAGUGAAUGCCUUUCAUUGUUUAGUGUCUAUUUUGUUUUAUACAGAAUGAAUCUUAGGAACAGCACUAAGAAUCUUGAGAAAAGUGAAGCUUACCACACAACUGGGGGAAUCUGCAAGUGGAAUUUUCCCCACGUUUAUCUGUGGCAGUUUUUGAUCAUUCCGCUUUCUGUGACAGAUUGUGAGAACAAGGCCAAGUGCAGAGUUGAGGUUGGUUCCCACUAUGUUCUGACAUUGUCUAGCAACCAAACGUUUGUUUAACAUUUGAAAUAUAUACUGCAUUAACUUAUUUUUAAAA